rnacentral:rRNA from 1 species
CCUACGGGUGGCAGCAGUAGGGAAUCUUCCACAAUGGGCGAAAGCCUGAUGGAGCAACGCCGCGUGGGUGAAGAAGGUCUUCGGAUCGUAAAACCCUGUUGUUAGAGAAGAAAGUGCGUGAGAGUAACUGUUCACGUUUCGACGGUAUCUAACCAGAAAGCCACGGCUAACUACGUGCCAGCAGCCGCGGUAAUACGUAGGUGGCAAGCGUUAUCCGGAUUUAUUGGGCGUAAAGGGAGUGCAGGCGGUUUUUCAAGGUUGAUGUGAAAGCCUUGGGCUUAACCGGAGUAGUGCAUUGGAGACUGGAAGACUAGAGUGCGGAAGAGGGGAGUGGAACUCCAGGUGUAGCGGUGAAAUGCGUAGAUAUAUGGAAGAACACCGGUGGCGAAAGCAGCUCUCUGGUAUGUAACUGACGCUGAGGUUCGAAAGCGUGGGUAGCAAACAGGAUUAGAUACCCGUGUAGUC